GACGAACGCUGGCGGCGUGCUUAACACAUGCAAGUCGAACGGAAAGGCCCUGUUUUUGUGCGGUCUUCGUGUGGCGAACAGGUGAGUAUCACGUGUGUAACCUGUCCCUGUCAUCGGGAUAACAUCUGGGAACUGGGGUUAUUACCGGACAUGAGAUCCUGCUGCAUGGUGGGGGUUGGUAAGUUUCGCCGGUUGGGGAUGGACACGCGGUCCAGCAGCGUGUUGGUUGGGUAGUGGCUUACCAAGGCUCUGACGGGUAGCCGGACUGGGAGGGUGACCGGCCACAUUGGGACUGAGAUACGACCCGGACUCCUACGGGAGGCAGGGGUGGAGAAUAUACCACGAUGGGCGGAGGCCUGGUACAACAACGCCGCGUGGGGGAAGACGGCCUUCGGGUUGUAAACCGCUUUCGCCUGUAACGAAGCGUGAGUGACGGUAAUGGGUAAAGAAGCACCGGCUAACUACGUG
rnacentral:rRNA from 1 species